GCGGAAAGGAUAUUUUAAAUCUCAGAUUAACAACCUUUUACACGAAUUCAACUUUUAUGAUGGAAUAAAACUAGUAUUAUAACUCAAAAGAAUUUUAGGUGAUCGGAUUAGAAAAAGACGUGUUUCCCUGACCGGGAAUCGAACCCGGGCCGCGGCGGUGAGAGCGCCGAAUCCUAACCACUAGACCACCAGGGAACUUGAGUACAGCCUUGCCUGAAACGUAUUUGUCACUUGAAGAUCCCUGCGCCGCCCCGGCCGCGGGGGAGGCGCCGCCCGGAGCUCCGCCCACUCCGUCCCCGGGACUCGCAGGCUCCGAACCAGGCGGGUCCCGGCGCCGCCGCCUCCCCCGCAACCCGCGGAGGAGCCUGCGUCACCCCCGCUGACCCAGCGCGGGGCCCGGGGGUGCGGAACCGGCCUCCUCCGUCUUCUGAGCUCUCGGCCGCCCUUUCCGACCCUGCGCCCUGCCGGCGUCUCUCGGCUCCCGCGGGGUCGGGCCCUCCAGCGCCGCCCCCCACGUGCGGACGGACGGCUGGUCCCCGCGGGGAGCACCUGCCGGGGUGAAGGGCACGCGGCCUGGGGCACGGAUCCGGGCGGCCGUGGUGCUCGAUCCUCAGGCUCAGGCCGCGGAGCUGGAGCGCGUGGGCGGCGGGCCCCGGGAGGAGCCGCGGGGAGCACCCGCACCCGCACCUGCACGCCCCCGGGAAGAACCGCCCGGAGCUCCUGCACCUGCACCUGCACCUGCUCCUGCACCCGGGAAGCCCUCCACACCAGCUGCGUUUCCACGAUCCUCGCGUUGUUCCAAGUGUUACCGACCCGGCAACAGCUUCGCCUCCCCGCCUUGUGUGCGGGCCGCGGCCGGGCGUGAGGCAACCACCAGAGGAGUAAAGGAGCCCCUUGGGCCAGCCGCCCUGCAGAGCCUCCUGAGACACGGAGCCGGAGCCCCAGGAUGCAGCUCCGCUGGGAAGUGGCGAGGUUCCAGGUGGACACAGGUCCAGGAUGACUACCUGCAGACCUCCACAGAUGUCACUAGCAUUUCCCUCCCAUGGAACUCCUGUGUCUUAGCCAACCUAAGUCAGGUGUGCGAUAGCAGGUGUCCUGUGCUAGGAAGAGACGGAUGGGUUUGACCACUACAGAGUGAGCUUUCUUGGAGCCAGUGAACUAAACUCAUCACUCAAUACCCAAAUCUCUUCUCCAACACCUUUACAGAGAAAAGGUCCAAAGGAGUUUCCGUCUUCAGUGACUGUGAGUUCAUUGCUUAUCCAAGGAGCCUUUCAUUCUGGCAAAGUAUUAGAGCAGUAGUUGCUGAUGUUCCUGGAAUUCCAGUUCAAGGAAAGGUAACCAGUGUUGUGUUUAAAAACAGACACACUGGAGGCACUUGGGUGACUCAGGUGGUUGACUAUCUCUUGAUUUUGCGGAGGUCAUGAUCUCAGAGUGGGGAGAGGGAGCCCCUGUGUUGGGCUCAGCAUGGAUUCUGCUUAAGAUUCUCUCCUUCUUCCUUGGCCCUUCUCCCCACACACAUACACACACCUCCCCCUUGCAGGGACGUAUUUUUUUUCUCUCCCUCAAAAAAAAAAAAAAAAAAAAAGAAAAAAGAAAAGAAAAGAAACACACACACACACACGCCACACUUCAUUACAAAAUUAUCUUUAGAUACAUAUGUAAGAAAAAGUACUGCACACAUUUGCAAUACAGUUGCUAUUGUUUGGUGAUGUUUCCCAAAGCCAUUCAGGAAGUGCUUCAGAGAACACCUGAUGCCUGAACCCAGGUAUCUAGUUACCUCCCACUGGUCCAAUUUCUACCCUGUGCAGCAAAAAAGAGGAAGACAAGGGGAGUGACCCCUCUUUUCUUAAAUUAAGAGCUAAAGAGAAUUCUGCUUCUCCAUAUCCAUCCCAAAGAGUCAUCAUCCAGUGUUCUUUAUCCCAGAAAAAGUGAGAUGGCAAUUCUACCUAAAUUGACCUACAAUGGCCUCUGACCUUCAACAGAGAUAAAAAGGAUGGCUUCCAUAUUAACAUAGGCCCUCCUAGCCAUAAAAAAUAGUAUCAUGUCAUAAUCUUUCAUUAACUCAACAUUUACCAAGCACCUGGUAGCCAAGUACAUGAAAAGUGCCAGAGAAACAACUUUUUUUAAAAGAUUUUAUUUAUUUUAGAGAGAUAGAGUACCCACAUGAGUGGGCAUGGGGAAGGGCAGAGGGAGGGAAUCUCAAGCAGACUUUGGGCUGAGCCAGUAGCAGGGUCUGAUCUCACAACCCUGAGAUCAUGACCUGAGCUGAAAUCAAGAAUCCAAGGCUUAAGUGGCUGAGCCACCGAGGCAUCCCAGGGAUAUAAUUUUUUUUAAAGGAAAUCUUUAUUAUAAUAAUGUAUAUUAUUAGAGUAAUAACUUUUCUUGAAGGUCAUAUUCUAGACUUUAGUCUAAGCAUCAUUUGUGGAUUACCUCGUUUAAUCCCUAUACCCAACCCUGCAAAGUUGAUACUAUAACUGAUAAGGGAACAGAGGUGAAGCAACAUAUCCUAGGUCAGCACAGGUAGAGCUAUAGUCUGUAGUCAGAACCUGGAUUCUUAGAGAUUGCCAUGGUCUUGGAAAGUACACAUUCUAAUGAGGUUCGAUCUUUAGUGUACCAGGAUUUCCCAAAUUAUCUUACGUAUUUUAUCUUAUCUUCCAAUUAAAAAUUCACCUUCUGUUUAGACUGGCACUAUCCAGAAUAGGUUUUUUUGUGUGUGUGAUAAUGGAAGUGUUCUAUUCUGUUCAAAAGAGUAGUCAACUAGCCAUCUAUGGCUCUUCAGCAUUUAAAGUAUGACUAGUGGAAUGAAAAAACACAUUUUUAGGGAUCCCUGGGUGGCGCAGUGGUUUAGCGCCUGCCUUUGGCCCAGGGCACGAUCCUGGAGACCCGGGAUUGAAUCCCACGUCAGGCUCCCGGUGCAUGGAGCCUGCUUCUCCCUCUGCCUAUGUCUCUGCCUCUCUCUCUCUCUCUGUGUGACUAUCAUAAAUAAAUGAAAAAAAAAUUAAAAAAAAAAACGUGCA
rnacentral:lncRNA from 12 species